CCAAUAGCGUAUAUUAAAGUUGUUGCAGUUAAAAAGCUCGUAGUUGAACUUCGGGGUUUACCCAUUGGUCAGGCUUAAUUGUCUGUACUGGUGAGAUAAAUCUCUACCUUCUGAGGAACUUUCAUGUCAUUAAUUUGGUGUGAUUGGAAAUCAGGACUGUUACUUUGAAAAAAUUAGAGUGUUUAAAGCAGGCUAACGUCUGAAUACAUUAGCAUGGAAUAAUGAAAUAGGACGGCUUGAUUCUAUUUCGUUGGUUUCUAGGAUCACCGUAAUGAUUAAUAGGGAUAGUUGGGGGCAUUAGUAUUCAAUUGUCAGAGGUGAAAUUCUUGGAUUUAUUGAAGACUAACUACUGCGAAAGCAUUUGCCAAGGAUGUUUUCAUUAAUCAAGAACGAAAGUUAGGGGAUCGAAGACGAUCAGAUACCGUCGUAGUCUUAACCAUAAACUAUGCCGACUAGGGAUCGGACGAAGUUAAUUUUAUAAUGACGCGUUCGGCACCUUACG
rnacentral:rRNA from 1 species